rnacentral:rRNA from 1 species
GGUUAAGCGAACAAGCGUACACGGUGGAUGCCCUGGCAGUCAGAGGCGAUGAAGGACGUGCUAAUCUGCGAAAAGCGCCGGUAAGGUGAUAUGAACCGUUAUAACCGGCGAUGUCCGAAUGGGGAAACCCGGUGCACUUCGGUGCAUCAUCGUUAGCUGAAUACAUAGGCUAACGAGGCGAACCGGGGGAACUGAAACAUCUAAGUACCCCGAGGAAAAGAAAUCAACCGAGAUUCCCCCAGUAGCGGCGAGCGAACGGGGAACAGCCCAGAGCCUGAAUCAGCUUGUGUGUCAGUGGAACGGUCUGGAAAGGCCGGCGAUACAGGGUGACAGCCCCGUACACGAAGGCACACAGGCUGUGAGCUCGAUGAGUAGGGCGGGACACGUGAUAUCCUGUCUGAAGAUGGGGGGACCAUCCUCCAAGGCUAAAUACUCCUGACUGACCGAUAGUGAACCAGUACCGUGAGGGAAAGGCGAAAAGAACCCCGGCGAGGGGAGUGAAACAGAACCUGAAACCGUGUACGUACAAGCAGUGGGAGCCUUCGUAAGAGGGUGACUGCGUACCUUUUGUAUAAUGGGUCAGCGACUUAUAUUCUGUAGCAAGGUUAACCGUAUAGGGGAGCCGAAGGGAAACCGAGUCUUAACCGGGCGUUAAGUUGCAGGGUAUAGACCCGAAACCCGGUGAUCUAGCCAUGGGCAGGUUGAAGGUUGGGUAACACUAACUGGAGGACCGAACCGACUAAUGUUGAAAAAUUAGCGGAUGACCUGUGGCUGGGGGUGAAAGGCCAAUCAAACCGGGAGAUAGCUGGUUCUCCCCGAAAGCUAUUUAGGUAGCGCCUCGUGAACUCAUCUCCGGGGGUAGAGCACUGUUUCGGCUAGGGGGCCAUCCCGGCUUACCAACCCGAUGCAAACUGCGAAUACCGGAGAAUGUUAUCACGGGAGACACACGGCGGGUGCUAACGUCCGUCGUGAAGAGGGAAACAACCCAGACCGCCAGCUAAGGUCCCAAAGUCAUGGUUAAGUGGGAAACGAUGUGGGAAGGCCCAGACAGCCAGGAUGUUGGCUUAGAAGCAGCCAUCAUUUAAAGAAAGCGUAAUAGCUCACUGGUCGAGUCGGCCUGCGCGGAAGAUGUAACGGGGCUAAACCAUGCACCGAAGCUGCGGCAGCGACACUGUGUGUUGUUGGGUAGGGGAGCGUUCUGUAAGCCUGCGAAGGUGUGCUGUGAGGCAUGCUGGAGGUAUCAGAAGUGCGAAUGCUGACAUAAGUAACGAUAAAGCGGGUGAAAAGCCCGCUCGCCGGAAGACCAAGGGUUCCUGUCCAACGUUAAUCGGGGCAGGGUGAGUCGACCCCUAAGGCGAGGCCGAAAGGCGUAGUCGAUGGGAAACAGGUUAAUAUUCCUGUACUUGGUGUUACUGCGAAGGGGGGACGGAGAAGGCUAUGUCGGCCGGGCGACGGUUGUCCCGGUUUAAGCGUGUAGGCUGACUUUCCAGGCAAAUCCGGAAAGUUAAGGCUGAGGCGUGAUGACGAGGCACCACGGUGCUGAAGUGACAAAUGCCCUGCUUCCAGGAAAAGCCUCUAAGCAUCAGGUAACAUCAAAUCGUACCCCAAACCGACACAGGUGGUCAGGUAGAGAAUACCAAGGCGCUUGAGAGAACUCGGGUGAAGGAACUAGGCAAAAUGGUGCCGUAACUUCGGGAGAAGGCACGCUGACAUGUAGGUGAAGCCCCUGCGGGUGGAGCUGAAGUCAGUCGAAGAUACCAGCUGGCUGCAACUGUUUAUUAAAAACACAGCACUGUGCAAACACGAAAGUGGACGUAUACGGUGUGACGCCUGCCCGGUGCCGGAAGGUUAAUUGAUGGGGUUAUCGCAAGAGAAGCUCCUGAUCGAAGCCCCGGUAAACGGCGGCCGUAACUAUAACGGUCCUAAGGUAGCGAAAUUCCUUGUCGGGUAAGUUCCGACCUGCACGAAUGGCGUAAUGAUGGCCAGGCUGUCUCCACCCGAGACUCAGUGAAAUUGAACUCGCUGUGAAGAUGCAGUGUACCCGCGGCAAGACGGAAAGACCCCGUGAACCUUUACUACAGCUUGACACUGAACAUUGAGCCUUGAUGUGUAGGAUAGGUGGGAGGCUUUGAAGCGUGGACGCCAGUCUGCGUGGAGCCGACCUUGAAAUACCACCCUUUAAUGUUUGAUGUUCUAACCUGGCGCCGUGAUCCGGCGUGGGGACAGUGUCUGGUGGGUAGUUUGACUGGGGCGGUCUCCUCCCAAAGUGUAACGGAGGAGCACGAAGGUCAGCUAAUCCUGGUCGGACAUCAGGAGGUUAGUGCAAUGGCAUAAGCUGGCUUGACUGCGAGAGUGACGGCUCGAGCAGGUGCGAAAGCAGGUCAUAGUGAUCCGGUGGUUCUGUAUGGAAGGGCCAUCGCUCAACGGAUAAAAGGUACUCCGGGGAUAACAGGCUGAUACCGCCCAAGAGUUCAUAUCGACGGCGGUGUUUGGCACCUCGAUGUCGGCUCAUCACAUCCUGGGGCUGAAGUAGGUCCCAAGGGUAUGGCUGUUCGCCAUUUAAAGUGGUACGCGAGCUGGGUUUAGAACGUCGUGAGACAGUUCGGUCCCUAUCUGCCGUGGGCGCUGGAGAAUUGAGGGGGGCUGCUCCCAGUACGAGAGGACCGGAGUGGACGCAUCACUGGUGUUCGGGUUGUCAUGCCAAUGGCACUGCCCGGUAGCUAAAUGCGGAAGAGAUAAGUGCUGAAAGCAUCUAAGCACGAAACUUGCCCCGAGAUGAGUUCUCCCUGAGACUAUAAGUCUCCUGAAGGAACGUUGAAGACGACGACGUUGAUAGGCCGGGUGUGUAAGCGCAGCGAUGCGUUGAGCUAACCGGUACUAAUGAACCGUGAGGCUUAACCUUAC